CUCUCUCUCUCUCUCAAAUUUCUGUAACCUUGAGUAGUGUAAUGUUCAGAAUUGUGUAAUGUUUAGGGUUGUGUAAUAUUCAGACUUGACUAGUUUUAAUCACUUGUUAUUUGUUCAGCUCCGUACUGGUAUAAUAUAGUACUUGUUAUGUGACCUGACUUAAUGAUGCCUUCUUAAUUUGGGAGGUGAUUGAUCUAUCAGAAUCUGCUUAUGAGUAUUUCUGUGACAUAUAUGUUCGUGAUAUAUAUUUCUUGUGGUUUCGUAUUUCUGUGAUGUUGAUCAUUUUAGUGCUAGUAUUGUGUCUUGUGUAAUCCAAAUCAUAUAUGUUCUGUGUGUGUGACUAAUUGUCAGGUAGUUGCUUUUAAUAAUUCAUAUUGUUUCUUGUGAAUUUACUAUCGAUGUUACUCUCUGUAGAAGUAAGAUGUAUGAACAUUUAAUUUCCAGUCUCUGUAUUAACGAUGUUCGUAUGAAAAUAUAUAUGUUUGUGUUGUUAUAUAUUUCUGCCCCUGUCGUACUAGCUUGGUUCUUCCUCCUGUCAUCUGCAUGCUAGUUAUAUAUGUCCAUGUAUUUUGACUUCCCUUAUCAUUGAUGCUAGUAUUGUAGUUCUCUAGUAGUUUGAAAAUACCAAUUAGAGAGUGAGUCUCAACCUUAACUUCCAUGUGUUGUUUGUCAUCGUCCUUGAUUAUUUUAGGUUUAUAUUUUCUUGCGAUCAUCACCCUUAUUGUGUUAUCUUGCUUUCGCCGAGCAUAGUUGCCGUUGCCUAGUCCCUGAGGAGAACACAACACUCGCAGUUUGGGCGUAAAAGCCCACUGUACUUACAAUUGAUCAUUUUGGCGCCGUUGCCGGGGACUAGCGUCAAGCGAUUGUGCUAGGCUAUAGACUAGGUUUUUCUUGUUUUCAUCUUGUGCCAUAUAUUUGUGAUAUAUCUCUAGCCACUAACCCCUGUUCUAGUUAGUAUCUUUUUGUCUUCUUUUCCAUUUUGCAGGUUGGAUUAUCCUCUCGGAAAUGGCAUUCUAUUCAGAUCAUCAUGCUUAUGUGAGCAACACUACAAACAACACGGAAAGUAUUCAAGAACUGAUAGGUAAGAUUUCCCAUCGAUUAGAUGAUUUAGCUCGGCAGCAAGAAGUAGUUUUUGAGGAUAGGCCUAGUUCUUACGAUCCUUAUUCCAGAGGCCAUCCUUAUGUUGCUCCUACUUGCCAUAUUUGUGGAUUUCAGGGCCAUUCGCCCGCUGAAUGUCAGCGUGGCUACUCUCACACUCCAGAUUGUUUUGGCAUGAGCUUCGCUCAAGAGCAUAGCUCAUACCAAAAGAAUUACUCAUAUGGGUGGCCUGAAAACCCGAAUAUGUCAUAUAGGACCAACAACCCUGAGAUCUCAUCGUUUGCUUCUAGUAAUCAUAUGCAGGGAUUUAGGUAUGAAGAUGAGAGCAACAACUAUGCACCACAACAAUUUUAUUCACAUUCUACUCAUGUACCUCAGCACCAGGAGAUGUGUCCAAUGGAGUUAAAUGGUCCUCUAUUUGGUCAACCGACAACUCCAGCACCUGAUGAGUCAUUAGUGCAAUCUCAUGUGCAAGUGCCCACACAAGAUGAGUUCGAUGACAUAGACAAGCUCACACUUUUGAGUCUCGAGGUCACUUGGAGUGUUGAGGAUGAUCCUAUUAGGAAGGUUAUACUAGAGGAAAUGAAGAAGACCAAGAGUGGAAAAGAGCUAGUGGAAGAAGUAAGGAAUAUUGAGACGAACAUCAACGCUGGCAGCACUACUUCUUCAUAGCUAGAGCUGAGUAUUUCUGGGAUAUCCUUUGAUACACGUGAGGUUCCAACGCCGUCACAUUUAGCUGAGCAAGAUAGCGAGAGCCCAUAGGAAGAGAUACCUCAGAUUGAAGAUGUACUCGAAGCCAAGGCACAAGAUGAUCCAGAGCUCAAAUGCCCAAGUGAUCAAGUUGAAGAUCCAAUGUCUAUCCCUCCUGAAGAAGUAAAAGAAGCUGCUGUAGAUGAAGAUGAAGAACCUGAGAUUCAUUUGCCUAUUGUCAUACAAGAGCGUGAUGUGUCAGGUUUACCUAAUCCUCUUAAUGACAUGUCUUCAUAUGAUUUGUUUGCUACUACCUUGCAUUGUAUGAUGCCAUCACUUAAGGUAGAUUUGAAAAACUAUUUGCUUGUACAUGAUCAUACACACCCUGUUAGUGGCAUUGCUCAUAUCUCUGUUCAUGAUACUUAUGUUCCUGAUGCUAUACCCACGCUUAAUGAAACAUGUGAUUCUAAUACUAGCAUUGAGCUUACUGAUUUGUACCAUCCUAAACAUGUGCUUUAUAGCUAUGCUUAUGUAAUUGGUUAUUCUAUUGAUGAUUUAGAGGGUAUUACCCCUGUCACUUGUAUCAUCUCCUUGGUUGAGUGCUCUUUCAGGUUGUUGCUUGUGCAUGAUCCACUACAUGCUGAUCAAGUUCGAUAUGACAUUCCCUGGGACCUCGGUGGACCCAUGGCAUGGGGAUGAGGAGAAGCAAGGGGCACACACGAAGAAGAGUGAAGUUGGAGCAUGUAUGAGGAAGCAAAAGGAGAGGAGUCGCAAUGCACGAGGAUGUGAGAGUGAUCGAGCGAAACCUACAUCAUAUAAGCCCGGUGAGCUAUUUCAUGACCCCAAUCUGAAUCCCAUCAUACAUUAUACAUGCUAUAAUCAACUGCUAUUUGGGUCGCUUGAGAAAUUUCUUAAAUGUUGUCCCACUGAAUUUCACCUUUGACAUAUGGUGCUUGAUGAGAAUAUGUGAACUGAUUGUUGAAUGCCUUGUAAACUAGUGAUCUACGUAUUGCUUGCUUUGCUGAAAUUAGUGAAAGCUAUUAGUUUUGAGUGCUCAAACCCCUAGUACACUAGAAAACUUAAUCAUUUUCUGCUUUUACCUUGAUACACCUAGAUCAUUAAGUGUCAGAUGCUGAGUUUGUGCCUAAUGUGUUCCCAUUCAGAGCAAUCACUUACCACUAUGGAUUAGCAUGAUAUGUUCUCUGGAUCGGUAGCAUGUGAACUAGACACGGAGGAGCGAUGAUUCUUGCUUUUGUUCAUUCGAAAAAUGAAAAAAAAAUAUAUCUUAUAAUGUAUAAUAAGUCUGACUACCUAUAGUAGCAUGUCAUGUUCCCUGGAUCGGUGGCAUGUGAAAUCUGGUAGCUUGGACAGUAAUAAAUAAAUAAAAAUGUAAUUGUUGAACCAGGUGUAUACCAUGUUCUCGGGAUCUGUGGUAUGUUCCUUUGGGGAGACAAACAAAAAAACUAAUAAUUGGUCGAGCCGGGUGUAUACCAUGUUCUCGGGAUCGGUGCUAUGUUCCUUUGGUGAGACCGAUAAAAUAUUAUCAUUGCUUACUUCAAAUUCAAUUAGUGGUUCAACCACAAUAUUCCUGGUAAUAAGUGAUCCGAUCACAAGUUUAAGCUCUUUUUGUUUUUUUGGAUCAUGCUCUCUUUAGGAACCUUUUGGCACAAUCAACAUUUGAAUUUGGUUGAUCCAUUUUUACCAUUGUAAAAGUUUAAAUGAUUGAGUCUACUAGUAUCCUAUUGCUUUGUAGCACUCUUAACCACUAAUUUUCACUAGCUAAGUCUGAAGCAUGCCUUGUUUGGAGAUCUAUUUUACUAGGGCAUUCUUUACUCAGUUCACUGUUCAUAUUCUUGCUCUUGUCAUCUACCUUUGCUUGAGGACAAGCAAAGAUUUAAGUGGGGGGGAACUUGAUCAACACAUUUCAUAUACAUCUUUUGGCAACCAAAUAUGCGGUGUAUUGAGUUAUAUUCAUUCAUUUCUUGCUAUGAAUUGUUGAAUAUGUGAAUAAAAAUCAUAUAAAGGAUCCUUUACUUGUCAUUUGUUUAUUUAGGAGAAAAGUGCGAUAAGGCACUAUAAUCUUGAAGAUCUUGUCUACAAAGAAAGAGGAUACAAGACCGAGGGCCAAUAGAAGAGAAGGGGGACUCGAGUAUGAAGAAUUAAAGAAAUGGAGGGCCAAAACUAAAGAAGAAAGGGAUCUGGGAGGGGAUCAAAACCAGAGCCGCAUCUCCAUUGCAAUCGGACCUGGCUACAUCUCCCUCUCCCCCAACCUCCUUCUCCACCUCCGGCCGCCGCCACGGCCAGGCCGGCGUGGUGGGCGCGCCAUCAUCACCACUCCACCACGCGCCGCAACCUCGCCAUCCAUCACCUCAUCGCCAUCUGCACCAUCCAUUCGCCGCCGCAUCCAUUCGUCCACCACGCCCAACACACGCAGCCAUCCACCACCAUCACCAACUCGCGCGGACGUCCAGACAAGGGCGGUGGUGUCCGAUCCUUCGCGAAGGCUACGGAUCCUUCUUCUCCUGCCCCGCUGCUGCGCUCCUUCCUUUGCCUUGCUGCUCUUGCCCCUCCUCUCAACCUCUUUCUUCUUCCCCUACUCUUGCUGCUGUCUUCUUCCCUGAACUUCCCCUUGCUGCUGCUGCCUCUUCUCCGUUGCAUCUCCCUUAGUGCUGCUGCUACUUCUCUCUUCUGCAUCCCCUACUGCUCCUAACUUUCUCAAUCUCUGCUACUUCUUCUCCGGGACCCCUUGCCGCUCCUUCUCUCUGAAUCGAACUGCUGCUGCAACCUCUCCCAUGAACCUGCUGCUGCUCUUCUCUCCCUAAUGCCCUUGCAUCAUCUCUAAACCAUCUCUGUUGCUGUUCUUCCUCCCCCUUUCCCAAAACCUGCUGCUGUUCUCUCUCUCUCUCUCUCUCUCAAAUUUCUGUAACCUUGAGUAGUGUAAUGUUCAGGGUUGUGUAAUAUUCAGACUUGACUAGUUUUAAUCACUUGUUAUUUGUUCAGCUCCGUACUGGUAUAAUAUAGUACUUGUUAUGUGACCUGACUUAAUGAUGCCUUCUUAAUUUGGGAGGUGAUUGAUCUAUCAGAAUCUGCUUAUGAGUAUUUCUGUGACAUAUAUGUUCGUGAU
rnacentral:lncRNA from 1 species